AUAGGGGUGGUUUGGCAAAGAUAUGCAUGAUCAGUAGUAAUACACCCAUGUACAUAUAAGUAGUUUGCGUUGUAAUUUAUUAGAUACUUUCGGUUAUGCCAUUGUGCGUUUAUUUCCAGCAGCUUCACAUCAUGUGCAUACUAUAUAAGAACCUAUUAUCUGAAAAAAAAAAACAAAAAAAAAACAGCAUUUGGAAAAAUGUCCAAUCUUAUCAUAUACAUACCCAGAUGAUAAAAUACAAGUUUUAUACUGUCCAAAUCUUUAUUAUCCGUUGGCAAUCAAUAUUUACCAAAAAGUCAGUUGAAUUGUUUGAAGUUAUUGCAACACAGGCAAUCUUUUACAGCAAUCGAACUCUUUUAUUCAAGGAAUGUUAUAUUAUCAUAUAUCUUAAGGAGAACAAAAACAUCCAUCAACACAAAUUAUGCGCCUUUUCGCUACGUAUUCAUCCCUGGAAAACGCUUCAGUGUGGCUCGACUUCGUGUGCAGAAUACAAGAAAUCUGCCCAAAUAUCUGAAAAAAACUACAGAUCAUUUUAAUGUUACGGAUUGAAGAGUUCAAUGUUUGCAUUAGAUCAAAUAUCAAUCGUCCUAUCGCAUUCUAUAAUUGCAUGCAUAACACUUACUUGCUUAUCUCGCUUAU